rnacentral:tRNA from 1 species
UCCCCAGUGGUGCAACUGGUUAGAGCGCGGUACUUAUAAUGCCGAGGUUGUGAGUUCGAUCCUCACCUGGGGAA